AGAGUUUGAUCAUGGCUCAGGACGAACGCUGGCGGCGCGCUUAAUACAUGCAAGUCGAGCGAGAACCAUGGCUUCGGCCAUGGGGACAGCGGCGAACGGGUGAGUAACACGUGGGUAAUCAACCCCCGACACUGGGAUAGCCCGGGGAACCCGGAUUAAUACCGGAUGCUCCGUCUGGCCCUCGGGCCGGACGGAAAAGGGUAGCUUCGGCCUCCGGUCGGGGACGAGCCCGCGGCGGAUUAGCUUGUUGGUGGGGUAAGAGCCCACCAAGGCGACGAUCCGUAGCUGGUCUGAGAGGACGAUCAGCCACACUGGGACUGAGACACGGCCCAGACUCCUACGGGAGGCAGCAGUAGGGAAUCUUGCGCAAUGGGCGAAAGCCUGACGCAGCGACGCCGCGUGAGGGAAGAAGGCCUUCGGGUUGUAAACCUCUUUCAGGAGGGACGAAGCCACUCGGGUUAAUAGCCCAGAGGGUGACGGUACCUCCAGAAGAAGCCCCGGCUAACUACGUGCCAGCCGCCGCGGUAAUAC
rnacentral:rRNA from 1 species